rfam:Schistosoma haematobium scaffold1189_14, whole genome shotgun sequence.
AUCCAGCCGACGAGUCCCAAAUAGGACGAAACGUGCGUCCUGUAU